UCCCUGAGUCCUGGGAUCAACCACAACCCCCUCUUCGGUAGAGCCUUUGACUCUGCAUGGGCAUGUGCCGUGGCAUUUGUCCUGAAGAUGGCUGAGGUGACACACUGAAACAGGCUACAGAAAUGUGUGAUGACGAAGUGGCUAAUGCUGGCAAGCCACGCCUGUUAGAUACGCGAACAGAGGAUUCACUGUCCCUGGAGGUAGUUUCCCAUGCUAGCUGCUGAGGCUUCUCUUCAAAGCAGCAACCUCUGAGCCUGGAACACGCUGGAAGACCCUGAGCUAGGAUUAUUAGAGAGAAAAGGAGGGCAGCCUCAUGGCAUCUGUCUGAGCCCAGAGGGUAGCGGGGGGCGGGGGCAAGGACUGGGCAGGAGACAUCAGGGCUGGAUUCCUGAUGUGGGACAAUGGCAGGCGAUGGAGGGGUCCCUCUUCAAGUCCAAGCUAGCCGGAGCGGAUACACUGUGGGACUGGCUCAGCUGUUCCUGCAGAGCUCACCCACGGUCUGGGAUGCCUCCUAACAAGUUCAUGCAAGUCAAACCCAGAUAGGGUGCUGACAAUGCCUUAGAUUACGGCCCGUGUCAGGCAUCUAGAUGGACCCCUCUCUCGUUUCACUCUGAGAGUCAAACAGGUUGGAACGACUGUGCAUUUGUAGCCCACAAAUAAGAGGAAUGGGUUAAGAUGUUUAUGGACAGGAAUGUCUUCUGAGGAUUCUUGGACACUUAAGUCAGCUAGAAGUGAAGGAGAAAGGGCUUUGCACCUGCCAGGCCAGUGGUGAGUCUUUCCCAAUCAAUCAUGCAGGUUGCAAGAUGUCAACAGAAUUGAUACCGCCCCCAAUGGAAUAGAAUUAACACUCUCAGGCUGGUGAGCUGGCUCAGGUUAAAAUGCCUGCUGCCAAGCCUGAUGAUCUGAGUUCUAGCUCCAGAAUCCACGCGGUGGAAGAGAACCGACUCUCCAGAGCUGUUGUUGGAAGUGGGUCACAUUACUCGUGCGUGGCCCUCCACCCACACACGACUGCACACACAAAACACAUUGAAAAAUGUAAAAGAAAACCACUCUCACCAGCUAGGCACUCACCUGUGUUCCCAUCUCUCAGGAGGCUGAGAGAGGAGGAGGCCGGACUGAACUACAUAGUGAGGCCCUGUCCCCCAAACACAAAGCAGACAAAGAUCUCACAUCAAAAGAUGCAAGUCCAACUUACGGUGCUGUGGAUGUUUUUCACUCAUGAAUGGACUUGUACUUAUCAAAAUUCUAGUUUCAGGAACCGUGCUGGCUAGUUUUGUGUAUCAACUUGGUAUCGGCUAAAGUCAUCAGAGAAGGAGCCUCAUUUGAGGAAGUGCCCCCAGCUGUAAGGCGUUUUCUCAGUUAAGGAUCAAUGCGGAGGGCCCAGACCAUGGCAAGUGAUGCCAUCUCUGGGCAGGUGUUCCUGGGUUCUACCAGAAGGUGGGCUGAGUUAAGCAAGCCACAAGAAGUAAGCUAGUAAGCAGCUCCCCUCCAUGGCCUCUGCAUCAGCUCCUGCCUCCAGGUUUCAGCCCUGCUUGAGUUCCUGUUCUGACCUCCUUUGAGAUGGUCUGUGAUCUGGAAAUAAACCCUUUCCUCUCCA